rnacentral:rRNA from 1 species
GGAGGGCGCGAGCGUUAUUCGGAAUCAUUGGGCGUAAAGCGCGUGUAGGCGGCUGGGCAAGUCGGAUGUGAAAGCCCGGGGCUCAACCCCGGAAUUGCAUUCGAAACUGCUCAGCUAGAGUCUCGGAGAGGAGGGCGGAAUUCCCGGUGUAGAGGUGAAAUUCGUAGAUAUCGGGAGGAACACCAGUGGCGAAGGCGGCCCUCUGGACGAUGACUGACGCUGAGACGCGAAAGCGUGGGGAGCAAACAGGGAUUAGAUACCCUGGUAGUCCACGCCGUAAACGUUGGGUGCUAGGUGUCGCGGGUAUUGACCCCCCUGCGGUGCCGUCGUUAACGCAUUUAGCACCCCGCCUGGGGGAGUACGGUCGCAAGACUA